rnacentral:rRNA from 1 species
UAGCUAUUGGUAGUAUCGACCCUAUCAGUGGCGAAGCUUACGCAUUAAGCACCCCGCCUGGGAAGUACGGCCGCAAGGUUGAAACUCAAAGGAAUAGACGGGAACUCGCACAAGCGGUGGAACAUGAGGUUUAAUUCGACAACAAACGAAGAACCUUACCAGGGCUUGAAAUGUUAGGGAAAUCUCGGCGAAAGUCGAGACCUCCGCAAGGACCCUAGCACAGGUGCUGCAUGGUUGCCGUCAGCUCGUGGCGCGAGUUGUUCCCUUCAGUGGGUAAACGAGCGCAACCCUCGUCCUGUGUUAUAUGUGUCACAGGAGACCGCCCCGCACUCAGUACAGGAAUUUUAAAUAAAUUCACUGUUCGUGUCCUGAGUGCGGGGAGGAAGGUGAGGAUGACGUCAAAUCAGCAUGGCCCUUUGAUGCCCUGGGCCACACUCAUGUUACAAUGGAUAGGACAACGCGUUGCUAAACCGUAAGGCGGAGCUAAUCGCAUCAAACCUAUCCCUAGUUCGGAUUGAGGGCUGCAACUCGCCCUCAUGAAGCCGGAAUCGCUAGUAAUCGCGGGUCAGCUAUACCGCGGUGAAUACGUUCUCGAGUUCUGUACUCACCGCCUGUCAAGUCAAGGAAGCCGAGAAUAGCCGAAGGUCCGUUUUUUCGGAAUUAAGCUAGGCUCGGUGACAGGGGCUAAGUCAUAACAAGGCACUCCUAGCGGAAGCUGGGGGUGAAACUUUUAUUUA